ACAGGGAUUGCCCUAGUAACGGCGAGUGAAGCGGCAACAGCUCAAAUUUGAAAUCUGGCGUCUUUGGCGUCCGAGUUGUAAUUUGCAGAGGGCGCUUUGGCAUUGGCAGCGGUCCAAGUUCCUUGGAACAGGACGUCACAGAGGGUGAGAAUCCCGUACGUGGUCGCUAGCCUCUACCGUGUAAAGCCCCUUCGACGAGUCGAGUUGUUUGGGAAUGCAGCUCUAAAUGGGAGGUAAAUUUCUUCUAAAGCUAAAUACUGGCCAGAGACCGAUAGCGCACAAGUAGAGUGAUCGAAAGAUGAAAAGCACUUUGGAAAGAGAGUUAAAAAGCACGUGAAAUUGUUGAAAGGGAAGCGCUUGCAGCCAGACUUGCCUGUAGUUGCUCAUCCGGGUUUUUACCCGGUGCACUCUUCUACGGGCAGGCCAGCAUCAGUUUGGGCGGUUGGAUAAAGGUCUCUGUCAUGUACCUCCUCUCGGGGAGAACUUAUAGGGGAGACGACAUGCAACCAGCCCGGACUGAGGUCCGCGCAUCUGCUAGGAUGCUGGCGUAAUGGCUGUAAGCGGCCCGUCUUGAAACACGGACCAAGGAGUCUAACAUCUAUGCGAGUGUUUGGGUGUCAAGCCCGAGCGCGUAAUGAAAGUGAACGGAGGUGGGAACCUUUCGGGGUGCACCAUCGACCGAUCCUGAUGUCUUCGGAUGGAUUUGAGUAAGAGCAUAGCUGUUGGGACCCGAAAGAUGGUGAACUAUGCUUGAAUAGGGUGAAGCCAGAGGAAACUCUGGUGGAGGCUCGCAGCGGUUCUGACGUGCAAAUCGAUCGUCAAAUUUGGGCAUAGGGGCGAAAGACUAAUCGAACUAUCUAGUAGCUGGUUCCUGCCGAAGUUUCCCUCAGGAUAGCAGUAACGUUUUCAGUUUUAUGAGGUAAAGCGAAUGAUUAGAGGACUGGGGGAUGAAACAUCCUU
rnacentral:rRNA from 1 species